rnacentral:rRNA from 1 species
AAGCGUGGACGCCAGUCUGCGUGGAGCCGACCUUGAAAUACCACCCUUUAAUGUUUGAUGUUCUAACGUGGACCCGUUACCCGGGUUGCGGACAGUGUCUGGUGGGUAGUUUGACUGGGGCGGUCUCCUCCUAAAGAGUAACGGAGGAGCACGAAGGUUGGCUAAUCCUGGUCGGACAUCAGGAGGUUAGUGCAAUGGCAUAAGCCAGCUUGACUGCGAGCGUGACGGCGCGAGCAGGUGCGAAAGCAGGUCAUAGUGAUCCGGUGGUUCUGAAUGGAAGGGCCAUCGCUCAACGGAUAAAAGGUACUCCGGGGAUAACAGGCUGAUACCGCCCAAGAGUUCAUAUCGACGGCGGUGUUUGGCACCUCGAUGUCGGCUCAUCACAUCCUGGGGCUGAAGUAGGUCCCAAGGGUAUGGCUGUUCGCCAUUUAAAGUGGUACGCGAGCUGGGUUUAGAACGUCGUGAGACAGUUCGGUCCCUAUCUGCCGUGGGCGCUGGAGAACUGAGGGGGGCUGCUCCUAGUACGAGAGGACCGGAGUGGACGCAUCACUGGUGUUCGGGUUGUCAUGCCAAUGGCACUGCCCGGUAGCUAAAUGCGGAAGAGAUAAGUGCUGAAAGCAUCUAAGCACGAAACUUGCCCCGA